rnacentral:tRNA from 1 species
GGAAACAGAACUCGAGUGGUUGAGUAUCUUCCUUUUAAGAAAAUUGUCCUGGUUCGAGCCCAGGUGUUUCCA